UACGUAGGGUGCAAGCGUUAAUCGGAAUUACUGGGCGUAAAGCGCGCGUAGGUGGCCCGGUAAGUCCGCUCUGAAAGUCAAAGGCUCAACCUUUGAAAGCGGGUGGAUACUGCCAGGCUAGAGUCCGGAAGAGGCGAGUGGAAUUCCUGGUGUAGCGGUGGAAUGCGCAGAUAUCAGGAGGAACACCAACGGCGAAGGCAGCUCGCUGGGACGGUACUGACGCUGAGACGCGAAAGCGUGGGGGAGCGAACAGGG
rnacentral:rRNA from 1 species